rnacentral:rRNA from 1 species
UACGUAGGGUGCGAGCGUUGUCCGGAAUUAUUGGGCGUAAAGAGCUCGUAGGCGGCUUGUCGCGUCGUCCGUGAAAACCCACAGCUCAACUGUGGGCUUGCGGUCGAUACGGGCAGGCUCGAGUUCGGUAGGGGAGACUGGAAUUCCUGGUGUAGCGGUGAAAUGCGCAGAUAUCAGGAGGAACACCGGUGGCGAAGGCGGGUCUCUGGGCCGAUACUGACGCUGAGGAGCGAAAGCGUGGGGAGCGAACAGG